AGCUUUGCGCAGUGGCAGUAUCGUAGCCAAUGAGGUUUAUCCAAGGCGCGAUUAUUGCUAAUUGAUAUGGGGGUUGCAAUACUGUACUGGUUGUUGGUGACUGCUCAGUGAUGCUUUUGUCACCAUAGUGG
rnacentral:snRNA from 1 species